AAUCAACGCUGGCGGCGUGCCUAACACAUGCAAGUCGAACGCGAAAGCCCGCAAGGGUAAGUAGAGUGGCGCACGGGUGAGUAACACGUGGACAACCUGCCUUCGAGUGGGGAAUAAACCUUCCGAAAGGGGGGCGUAAUACCGCAUAAAACCUCGGAACACAAGUUCUGGGGUUGAAAAGAGCAAUUUGCUCGAAGAGGGGUCCGCGCCUGAUUAGCUAGUUGGUGAGGUAACGGCUCACCAAGGCUCGAUCAGUAGCCGUCCUGAGAGGGAGCACGGCCACACUGGAACUGAGACACGGUCCAGACUCCUACGGGAGGGCAGCAGUGGGGAAUUUUUGGCAAUGGGCGAAAGCCUGACCAAGCAACGCCGCGUGGGUGAUGAAGUAUCUUGGGUACGUAAAACCCUUUCGGCAGGGACGAACCUAAUGACGGUACCUGCGGAAGAAGCCCCGGCUAACUCCGUGCCAGCCGCCGCCGUAAU
rnacentral:rRNA from 1 species